GAGGGGUUAGUUAAACCAUAACAUUGCCUUGUCAAGACAAAAUUAUUAGUGAAACUCUUGUACCCCUCU
rnacentral:tRNA from 1 species